rnacentral:rRNA from 1 species
UGGGGAAUAUUGCGCAAUGGGCGAAAGCCUGACGCAGCGACGCCGCGUGAGGGAUGAAGGUUUUCGGAUCGUAAACCUCUGGCAGAAGGGAAGAAACCGCACUGUGCUAAUCAGCAGUGCCUUGACGGUACCUUCAAAGGAAGCACCGGCUAACUCCGUGCCAGCAGCCGCGGUAAUACGGAGGGUGCAAGCGUUAAUCGGAAUUACUGGGCGUAAAGCGCACGUAGGCUGCUUUGUAAGUCAGGGGUGAAAUCCCACGGCUCAACCGUGCAACUGCCUUUGCUACUGCUUAGCUUGAAUCCGGGAGAGGGUGGCGGAAUUCCAGGUGUAGGAGUGAAAUCCGUAGAUAUCUGGAGGAACAUCAGUGGCGAAGGCGGCCACCUGGACCGGUAUUGACGCUGAGGUGCGAAAGCGUGGGGAGCAAACAGG